rnacentral:rRNA from 1 species
CCCUUAGAUGUUCUGGGCUGCACGCGCGCUACACUGAUGCAUGCAACGAGUUUUCGACCUUGCCUGAAAAGGUUGGGUAAUCUGUUUAACAUGUGUCGUGAUGGGGAUAGACCAUUGCAAUUAUUGAUCUUCAACGAGGAAUGCCUAGUAGGCGCAAGUCAUCAGCUUGCGUCGAUUACGUCCCUGCCCUUUGUACACACCGCCCGUCGCUCCUACCGAUUGGGUGUGCUGGUGAAAUGUUCGGAUCGGCCGUUUGUCGCGGUUUCCGCGGCUCGUGGCUGAGAAGUUCAUUAAACCCUCCCACCUAGAGGAAGGAGAAGUCGUAACA